AUUCCUCGUGUGAAUUAUACAUAGAGUCGGAUAAACGACAGUUAAUCUAAACAUAAGAAGAAAAUCUGUUAAGAAAAUUUUGCUUAGACUCUCUUUUAAAUAUAUCAUACAAACUAUAUUUUUUGUGAUAAGAUAAACAUGACCCGUCCUGUGUCAAAUUAAAAAAUAAAUAAAUAAUAAAUUAAUCCCAUUCACUCCCUUAUUUUCUCUUAUUUUUUCUCUCUCUCCGUCUCGACACACACUUCCCUCCCAUUUUUUUGUUGUUUUUUUCUUUCUUUCUUUUCCUUCCAUUCUCCUUGUUUAUUCUCACUCUAUUACUCAAACCUUCAAUCCUUAAAAGAGAUUUAACAUCCCCACAAGCUUAAUUUCUCAAACUUCUACAAAUUCUUUUGGUUGAGAUUUUUGAGUUAGGGUUUGUGUUCUAAGGAAGGAAAAGGGUAACCAUCUCUUGAAAGUGGUUUAUUGAGACUCAUUGAGAUUUGUCAACUGAGACCUUGCCGGCUACUCUCUGAGAGUUGUUGGAGAGCAAACUUAGACGAUUCUCCAUAACUAUUCGCAAGCAGCUGAGUAGGAAUCUAUUAUUUGAUUCAAGUCUCAACAUACUUCUUUUUUUUUUUUGGUAGG